rnacentral:rRNA from 1 species
UACGUAGGGGGCUAGCGUUGUCCGGAAUCAUUGGGCGUAAAGCGCGCGUAGGCGGCCAGAUAAGUCCGGUGUGAAAGUCACAGGCUCAACCUGUGAAUGCCGCUGGAAACUGUCUGGCUCGAGUCCGGGAGGGGCGAGUGGAAUUCCUGGUGUAGCGGUGAAAUGCGCAGAUAUCGGGAGGAACACCUAUGGCGAAGGCAGCUCGCUGGGACGUUACUGACGCUGAGACGCGAAAGCGUGGGGAGCAAACAGG